UCCAAAGUCCACACCCAUCUAACCCUAAUCCCCGUUCUCUCCUCCGUUCCCUCAGCCGCCACAGCCGCCGCUCCCGAUUCGGGCGAUUCCGGCGGAUAUUGCAGGGGUGGAGCACACCACCGAGCUCGCCUUGCUUGGAUCGAUCCUUCCCUCCGGCAAGAUUUCCCCCUCUCGACCUCAACUGCUUGCCCAAAACCACUUCCUGUGCUAGGGUUUCGCCAUCCGGCAUCGCCUUCGUCGUCGGCCCUUCUACGGCCGCCUAUGGCGCUUCUUCUCCGUCGUCUAUAGUGCCCUCACGCGCGCCCUCGCUUCCUGAUGGUCCACCUCGAGAAGGGCGGCACGGAGGACCUCAUCCCGUAGGAUCCAUGGAUGCGGCGCACCGUGCAGCCACCCAUCCGGGAAGAGGGUGGGCACCGUGGCUUGUCCUGCUCGACGACAGCUGUGGCGAGUGCGUGUGCUGCUCCUCAUCCUCAAACUCCAAGGAGAAGCGCCAGUACAACAGAAGCACACCCCGCCCGUGAACAAUGGCCAUGGCGCUAGGAUUCUGCGACAGCCAGCUAACUAGUGCGCCAUACUUAUCUGCCUAAUCGGCUGAUUGGGGGUUCUGUUGGGUUGACAACCAGGACGCCCUCCUCGAAGCAGCCAUCCCCGACGAGCUCUCUUCGCCGGAGGAGAUGGAGCAGCAAGUCCAGCACCCGCUUGGCCCCUGUGUCCUAUCUUGCGUGGACAAGCUCACCAAUGGCUGCGUCUUCCUUCCCUCCUAGCGUGAUAUUGGUUUAUGGAGUAUUUUCAGCAACGAAGACAUUUGUUCUCACGACUUUGGUGUGGAGGGGUGGAUAUAAUGUCUAGGAACAUUGGAUGACCUGUGGUUGACGUCCGAUGAGCGUUGGGCCUCGCUUUGAUGGCUGCGAUGCUGGUUGUGGAGUAGCAUAGUGAUCUUCAAGACGUGCUUGUAAAACUAAUCUUAUUUGGGUCUUUUUUUUUGCUCAUGUAUAGGUAUUUUCUAGUGUGUUUAUGUAAUUUUCUUUUUUUAAUGAGAUGAGAUAUUUUUUGUCAAAUUCUUAUUACCUUAAAUUUUCAUGGACCAAGAGAAAUGAGGGAUGGGCUAAUGUCA